rnacentral:rRNA from 1 species
GAUCAUGGCUCAGGAUGAACGCUGGCGGCAGGCUAAUACAUGCAAGUCGAACGGUAAGGCCGAGUGCAGCAAUGCAUGAGGUACACGAGUGGCGCACGGGUGCGUAACGCGUAUGCAACCUGCCCCGCACCGGGACAAACAGCUGGAAACGGCUGCUAAUAUCCCAUAGUCACCUGGGAGGGCAUCCUCCUGUGUGUAAAGAUUUAUUGGUACGGGAUGGGCAUGCGUAUUAUUAGGUAGUUGGCGGGGUAACGGCCCACCAAGCCGACGAUGAUUAGGGGUCCUGAGAGGGUUAACCCCCACACUGGAACUGAGACACGGUCCAGACUCCUACGGGAGGCAGCAGUAGGGAAUAUUGCACAAUGGGCGAAAGCCUGAUGCAGCGAACCGCCGCGUGAGCGAAGAAGUAUUUCGGUAUGUAAAGCUCUAUCAGCAGGGAAGAUAAUGACGGUACCUGACUAAGAAGCACCGGCUAAAUACGUGCCAGCAGCCGC